AUUCAGUAAUAAUAAACAAAGAAAUAUAGAUAGAGUGUUUAUGUGCCAAGAUAAUGCAAAGAGUUAGUUCCACAUCGGGUAGCUCCAAAAUAAAAAUAGAGAACAUCCUUAUAAAUAAACAUAUGUACUUCCAGCUUGGGACAGUUUGCUCGGAUUGGAAGUUAAAAUCCUGUUUUUGGCCUUACUUCAAAAUAGAACUUGCCAUUGCCAUUCCUCUCUGGUUAUGAUAACCCAAUUUAGUUUCUUUUACAAAAUAAAAAAGUGAUUCGCUAUUGGUACUUGUUACUGUCCGGUUAUGAUAACCCAAUUUAAUUCAUGCUGCCGAAGGACGCUUUCAGAGGCGAAAGGCCUUCCCACCCAAGUCAAAAACAGGCGUGGAUACAAAUUGGGAGAAAGAAAAAAAGUAGACAAUUUCCAAAUUGAACUUUUCUUUUGUUUCAUUCACUUCUUGAAAAUGGAAUGAUAUAAAUCCUUUCACCAUCUGCUCAAAUCAUUGUUACUUUCUCUUGCUCCAAAGGAGUUUUCAAUUUUAUGGCUGUUAUCUUUCUUGAAGUCUUUCUCAGAUUUGUUUACCUUGGUCCGACAACAACUGCUAUUUCUCAAAUCAUAGAUACCAUUCGUGAGUUCAUGUUCUCUGCUAGUGAUGUACUUGUGAAUAAGGAUAGUUUUGAGUAACUUGAAGCUUGUUUGGAAAGAAUCAUGCCAGUUUUGAAAGAAUUUAGGAAAGAAAAAGCGAGUGAGUCCAAGGCAUUCAACCGUGCUUUUUGUUGUGAAUUGCAAAACUAAAGAUGCAAAGCUACUUGCUCUAGAAUGUAGCAAAAAGAGCAAGUUUUAUCCGUUAAUGAAUUGCAGGUCCAUUGUGAAACGAUUAGAAAAUCACACAAAUGAAAACUUUUUCAUUAUAAAAAAUCUUUAGAGUACACCUCUUUGAUAAUUUUCUUAUAUUAUUUUUGUCUUGUUAAUAUCAUAACCAUGCACGAUACCAUGAACAAAGUUUCUUUAUGAGAGGAGAAGAGGGAGGUUGUGAUGGUUAAAGCAAAAAGAGGCGGCGGGAAUGACAGUGAGUUGGAAGAACAAGAAGAAGAAACCACUAUCUCAAUUCACCGAUCAUCCAUUUGAACAUGACAAUACACACCCCAAUGCAUUGAAGAUGGCUGUGAUGGAACAAGAGUGUGUUCUCCCAAUUCCGAAAAAUCAUCACAGUUAGUUAUUCAAUUUCAUGCUCAAGUUGAUAACCUUGCUAUGGUAUUAUUAUGUCUGUUUUGUACUAAUAUCAGAAUAUAUCUGUUGGUGCUUCUGAUAUUUGUUAUAGAAUUCAAACUGUUAGUAGUUUUUUAUUUGGAAUAUGAUAAUUGAAAGUCUAUAUAUGGAAAGAGCUACUGAAUUGAAGCCAUCACAGGCCGAGGUGACACUCGUCAUUUGCAUACCCUUUUACUGAUGAUAUUUAUAUGUAUACUUUUUAUACUUAUUGAAAUUCUAGUAUCUCUUGAUUGAAUCAA